GACGAACGCUGGCGGCGUGCUUAACACAUGCAAGUCGAACGCAGUGGGGACGGGUGAGUCACACGUGGGUAACCUCCCAUCAGAGGGGAUAACACUUGGACACAGGUGCUAAACCGAUACUGAUUGAUGGACCGGCGGUGCAUUAGCUAGUUGGUGAGGUAACGGCUCACCAAGGCCCAGAUGCAUAGCCAACCUGAGAGGGUGAUCAGACACACUGGGACUGAGAAACGGAACAGACUCCUAAGGGAGGCAGAAGGAGGGAAUCAUCGGCAAUGGACGAAAGUCUGAACGAGCAACGCCGCGUGAGUGAAGAAGGUCUUCGGAUAGUAAAGCUCUGUUGGCAGAGAAGCGGAAUCUAGACAGAAAGCCACGGCGAACUACGUGCCAGCAGCCGCGGUAAUAC
rnacentral:rRNA from 1 species